CAUGGUUGUCGUCAGCUCGUGUCGUGAGGAUGUUGGGUUAAGUCCCGCACGAGCGCAACCCUAUUGCUAGUUACCAUCAUUAAGUUGGGGACUCUAGCGAGACUGCCAGUGAUAAACUGGAGGAAGGUGGGGGAUGACGUCAAAUCAUCAUGCCCCUUAUGACCUGGGCUACAAACGUGAUACAAUGGCUGGAACAAAGGGAUGCGAAGCAGUGAUGUGGAGCGAAACCCAUAAAAACAGUCUCAGUUCGGAUUGAAGUCUGCAACUCGACUUCAUGAAGUCGGAAUCGCUAGUAAUCGUGAAAUCAGAAUGUCACGGUGAAUACGUUCCCGGGCCUU
rnacentral:rRNA from 1 species